CACGUAGGGGGCGAGCGUUGUCCGGAUUUAUUGGGCGUAAAGAGCUCGUAGGCGGUUCGGCAAGUCGGGUGUGAAAUUUCGAGGCUCAACCUCGAAACGCCACUCGAUACUGCUGUGACUGGAGUCCAGUAGAGGAGUGCGGAAUUCCUGGUGUAGCGGUGAAAUGCGCAGAUAUCAGGAGGAACACCAACGGCGAAGGCAGCACUCUGGGCCGGUACUGACGCUGAGGAGCGAAAGCGUGGGGAGCAAACAGG
rnacentral:rRNA from 1 species